CAGGACGAACGCUGGCGGCGUGCUUCAUACAUGCAAGUCGAACGAGAAGCUCACUUCGGUGAGUGGAAAGUGGCGGACGGGUGAGUAAUGUGUAGAGAAUCUGCCCUAGAGUGGGGGAUAGCAGUUGGAAACGACUAUUAAUACCCCAUAUGCGCGUAGCUGAGAUGCUAUUCGUGAAAACUCCGGUGCUCUGGGAUGAGUCUGCAUCUGAUUAGCUAGUUGGCGGUGUAAUGGACCACCAAGGCGACGAUCAGUAGCUGGUUUGAGAGGAUGAUCAGCCACAAUGGGACUGAGACACGGCCCAUACUCCUACGGGAGGCAGCAGUAGGGAAUUUUGCGCAAUGGGGGAAACCCUGACGCCAGCAACGCCGCGUGAAUGAAGAAGCCCUUCGGGGUGUAAAGUUCUGUCAGUGGGGACGAAACUUGACGGUACCCACAGAGGAAGCAUCGGCUAACUCCGUGCCAGCCGCAGC
rnacentral:rRNA from 1 species